UGGGGAAUUUUGGACAAUGGGCGCAAGCCUGAUCCAGCCAUGCCGCGUGCAGGAUGAAGGCCUUCGGGUUGUAAACUGCUUUUGUACGGAACGAAAAGGUGCCUUCUAAUAAAGGGCGCUCAUGACGGUACCGUAAGAAUAAGCACCGGCUAACUACGUGCCAGCAGCCGCGGUAAUACGUAGGGUGCGAGCGUUAAUCGGAAUUACUGGGCGUAAAGCGUGCGCAGGCGGUUUUGUAAGACAGAGGUGAAAUCCCCGGGCUCAACCUGGGAACUGCCUGUGUGACUGCAAGGCUGGAGUGCGGCAGAGGGGGAUGGAAUUCCGCGUGUAGCAGUUAAAUGCGUAGAUAUGCGGAGGAACACCGAUGGCGAAGGCAAUCCCCUGGGCCUGCACUGACGCUCAUGCACGAAAGCGUGGGGAGCAAACA
rnacentral:rRNA from 1 species